AUUGAACGCUGGCGGCAGGCUUAACACAUGCAAGUCGAACGAGUGGCGGACGGGUGAGUAAUGCUUGGGAAUCUAGCUUAUGGAGGGGGAUAACUACGGGAAACUGUAGCUAAUACCGCGUACCCUAGGAUGAGCCCAAGUGGUAUUAGGUAGUUGGUGAGGUAAAGGCUCACCAAGCCGACGAUCACUAGCUGGUCUGAGAGGAUGACCGGCCACACUGGGACUGAGACACGGCCCAGACUCCUACGGUAGGCAGCAUUGGGGAAUAUUGCGGAAUGGGGGCCACCCUGACGCGGCCAUGCCGCGUGAGUGAAGAAGGCCUUCGGGUUGUGAAGUACUUUCAGCGGGGAGGCGUUACCCGCAGAAGAAGCACCGGCUAACUCCGUGCCCGCAGCCGCGGUAAUAC
rnacentral:rRNA from 1 species